GAUGAACGCUGGCGGCGUGCCUAAUACAUGCAAGUCGAGCGAACAGACGAGGAGCUUGCUCCUCUGACGUUAGCGGCGGACGGGUGAGUAACACGUGGAUAACCUACCUAUAAGACUGGGAUAACUUCGGGAAACCGGAGCUAAUACCGGAUAAUAUAUUGAACCGCAUGGUUCAAUAGUGAAAUACGGUUUUGCUGUCACUUAUAGAUGGAUCCGCGCCGUAUUAGUUAGUUGGGAAGGUAACGGCUUACCAAGGCAACGAUGCGUAGCCGAGCGGAGGGGGGGAUCGGCCCCUCAGGAACUGAGCAGCGGCACAGGCUCCUAGGGGAGGCAGAAGUAGGGACUCUUCCGAAAAGUGGGGAAGCCUGACGGAGCAACGCCGCGGGAGUGAUGAAGGUCUUCGGAUCGUAAAACUCUGUUAUUAGGGAAGAACAAAUGUGUAAGUAACUAUGCACGUCUUGACGGUACCUAAUCAGAAAGCCACGGCUAACUACGU
rnacentral:rRNA from 1 species